GGAGGUUGUGCCCUUGAGGCGUGGCUUCCGGAGCUAACGCGUUAAGUCGACCGCCUGGGGAGUACGGCCGCAAGGUUAAAACUCAAAUGAAUUGACGGGGGCCCGCACAAGCGGUGGAGCAUGUGGUUUAAUUCGAUGCAACGCGAAGAACCUUACCUGGUCUUGACAUCCACGGAAGUUUUCAGAGAUGAGAAUGUGCCUUCGGGAACCGUGAGACAGGUGCUGCAUGGCUGUCGUCAGCUCGUGUUGUGAAAUGUUGGGUUAAGUCCCGCAACGAGCGCAACCCUUAUCCUUUGUUGCCAGCGGUCCGGCCGGGAACUCAAAGGAGACUGCCAGUGAUAAACUGGAGGAAGGUGGGGAUGACGUCAAGUCAUCAUGGCCCUUACGACCAGGGCUACACACGUGCUACAAUGGCGCAUACAAAGAGAAGCGACCUCGCGAGAGCAAGCGGACCUCAUAAAGUGCGUCGUAGUCCGGAUUGGAGUCUGCAACUCGACUCCAUGAAGUCGGAAUCGCUAGUAAUCGUGGAUCAGAAUGCCACGGUGAAUACGUUCCCGGGCCUUGUACACACCGCCCGUCACACCAUGGGAGUGGGUUGCAAAAGAAGUAGGUAGCUUAACCUUCGGGAGGGCGCUUACCACUUUGUGAUUCAUGACUGGGGUGAAGUCGUAACAAGGUAACCGUAGGGGAACCUGCGGUUGGAUCACCUCCUUACCUUAAAGAAGC
rnacentral:rRNA from 2 species